rnacentral:rRNA from 1 species
UGGGGAAUAUUGGACAAUGGGCGAAAGCCUGAUCCAGCCAUGCCGCGUGUGUGAAGAAGGUCUUCGGAUUGUAAAGCACUUUAAGUUGGGAGGAAGGGUUGUAGAUUAGUACUCUGCAAUUUUGACGUUACCGACAGAAUAAGCGCCGGCUAACUCUGUG